rnacentral:rRNA from 1 species
UACGUAGGGGACAAGCGUUGUCCGGAAUUAUUGGGCGUAAAGCGCGCGCAGGCGGUCCUUUAAGUCUGAUGUGAAAGCCCACGGCUCAACCGUGGAGGGUCAUUGGAAACUGGGGGACUUGAGUGCAGAAGAGGAAAGCGGAAUUCCACGUGUAGCGGUGAAAUGCGUAGAGAUGUGGAGGAACACCAGUGGCGAAGGCGGCUUUCUGGUCUGUAACUGACGCUGAGGCGCGAAAGCGUGGGGAGCAAACAGG